rnacentral:rRNA from 1 species
UACGGAGGGUGCAAGCGUUAUCCGGAUUCACUGGGUUUAAAGGGUGCGUAGGCGGGCAGGUAAGUCAGUGGUGAAAUCUCCGAGCUUAACUCGGAAACUGCCGUUGAUACUAUUUGUCUUGAAUAUUGUGGAGGUAAGCGGAAUAUGUCAUGUAGCGGUGAAAUGCUUAGAUAUGACAUAGAACACCAAUUGCGAAGGCAGCUUACUAGACAACGAUUGACGCUGAGGCACGAAAGUGUGGGGAGCAAACAGG